ACAAAGUACUGAGUAAAGGGUCUGAAUUCUUAUGUAAAUGUGAUAUUUCAGUUUAUUUUGUAUCCAUAAAAAAUCAAACAAACACAGUAAACACUGACUGAGUCAAGUUGCAGAAUGAAGAUUAUUAAAGGGGAGACUCAGGUAUGGGUGUGCGCACGCAUGCACCCAUAUGUAACUGCCUCAGGUAUGGGUGUACGUACGCAUGCACCCAUAUGUAACUGACUCAGGUAUGGGUGUACGUACGCAUGCACCCAUAUGUAACUGACACUAUACUGUAGCAGACUAACAUUGGAUGUAAUGCAUUUUAUGUCUACCAGAGAUUUAAUUUAACACAUUUAGAAAAUUAUGGAGAUGACGAUUGAUAUUAAAACACACAGCCACCAACAUCGGAAUAAUCCAAAAUGCACCUCAAAUCACAAUUUCAUAAAUUAAAGAUGCAGUCCGGGAUCUUAAGCACAACAAACUCGUAACAUUUUGCAGGGAUUUGAUUGUAUGAUAUCACACAUUUUGUAAAAAAUAAAAUUACUUAGUACACACAACAACAACAAAAAAAUGGGGACCACUUUUGGCUCAUGAGCACCACUUUCAAAACUGUCUGAAAUUAUACAAACGUUUGAGAGUGCAUCUUUAAAAUUAAUACUUCCCUUCACAAACAAUAUUUCUCCAUAGUUAUAAUGGCCAAUGCUUAAUAUAUUUAAACAUGUCAGAAGUCUAGCCUAAUAAACAUUUAACAUAAAAACCUGUGAAAACACCCGUCAUAAUUGAAAUUCCUGAGAAUGCGUACCUAUUAGAUAUCCAUGUUGACGUGACCUGUGCCCGCACUCCGCAAAUCAGAGUUCACCACUUCUCCGCCUCUGCCGAGUGGCUUCGACAUGAAGGAUCACUCCGCGAUAAAGGCACUUACACACUGUAAGCGACAAUUGAACCGCAGAAGAAGAAAAAAAA